GUCCGGAUGACGAGUCUCAAAUAAGAUGAAAUGCACAUUCUGGAU
rnacentral:hammerhead_ribozyme from 1 species